UACGGAGGGUGCGAGCGUUAAUCGGAAUUACUGGGCGUAAAGCGCGCGUAGGCGGCUUUGCAAGUCGAGUGUGAAAUCCCCAGGCUCAACCUGGGAACUGCAUUCGAGACUGCAUAGCUAGAGUAUGGGAGAGGGAAGUGGAAUUUCAGGUGUAGCGGUGAAAUGCGUAGAUAUCUGAAGGAACAUCAGUGGCGAAAGCGACUUCCUGGACCAAUACUGACGCUCAUGUGCGAAAGCGUGGGGAGCAAACAGG
rnacentral:rRNA from 1 species